rnacentral:rRNA from 1 species
GAUGAACGCUGGCGGCGUGCUUAACACAUGCAAGUCGAACGAAGCACCUUAUUCUGAUUUCUUCGGAAUGAAGAUUUUAGUGACUGAGUGGCGGACGGGUGAGUAACGCGUGAGUAACCUGCCUCAUACAGGGGGAUAACAGUUAGAAAUGACUGCUAAUACCGCAUAAGACCACAGUACCGCAUGGUACAGGGGUAAAAACUCCGGUGGUAUGAGAUGGACCCGCGUCUGAUUAGGUAGUUGGUGGGGUAACGGCCUACCAAGCCGACGAUCGGUAGCCGGCCUGAGAGGGUGACCGGCCACAUUGGGACUGAGACACGGCCCAAACUCCUACGGGAGGCAGCAGUGGGGAAUAUUGCACAAUGGGGGAAACCCUGAUGCAGCGACGCCGCGUGAGCGAUGAAGUAUUUCGGUAUGUAAAGCUCUAUCAGCAGGGAAGAAAAUGACGGUACCUGACUAAGAAGCACCGGCUAAAUACGUGCCAGCCGCCGCGGUAA